rnacentral:lncRNA from 1 species
AGUGAUUGUCUUCCAGCUUCGCGAAGGCUAGGGGCGCGGCUGCCGGGUGGCUGCGCGGCGCUGCCCCCGGACCGAGGGGCAGCCAACCCAAUGAAACCACCGCGUGUUCGCGCCUGGUAGAGAUUUCUCGAAGACACCAGUGGGCCCGUUCCGAGCCCUCUGGACCGCCCGUGUGGAACCAAACCUGCGCGCGUGGCCGGGCCGUGGGACAACGAGGCCGCGGAGACCACACACCAACUUGCAGGAAAGGAGAUCCUUCAACGGGUCCACGACCGCGCUCAGCAUCCUCCCUGGAGAAAGGCUCGGAGCUGUCCCCUGUGCUAGUCCCCUCCCACCCCGCUCCUCGCCUCUCUCCUGGGAAUGAUUUCUAAAUGUUUAUCUUUUACCUAGUAAAAGAAUUCCCGAAACUUCAAGCCCCAAAGAUUCCUCUUUCAGGAGCCUCGUUCUACGCCGUACCUCCAUUUCCCACUGUUCCCUGUAUGAUACCUCGCACUUGUGCAACACAUGAGUUUAACGAGUACUUGUAAUAUACAUUCCUUCAUGUGUUUUCCUCCUUCGCCUUGCAAAAUAGGUUUUACCGGUAUUUUAGAUAAGGUAAUGAAUGCGAGAGCCCUGUCCAAAGAACAGCUGACCGUGGUAGAGCUGGAUAGCCCCAUGCUCUUGCUUAGUUGUAAACUUGACGUCUGCGUCUUUUGCUGGAGAUGUGAGUUUGACCACCAUCACCUCCACCGUUGGUGCUGGACAUCCUGCUGGAUCUGAAUUAACUGAAUUCUGGCUCUGCUUAACUGAAUUCUGCUUUUCAAGCUCCAACUCAAUUGCUUCCUCCUCUUUGGGGCACAGGCCUUUGGUUCCAAACACUACUGUGGAUGAUUAACAGCCUGUGAUUAAAUGUUGACUGGUUUGUAGUAA